UACGAAGGGGGGCUAGCGUUGCUCGGAAUCACUGGGCGUAAAGCGCACGUAGGCGGCUUGUUAAGUCGGGGGGUGAAAUCCUGGAGCUCAACUCCAGAACUGCCCUCGAUACUGAUGAGCUCGAGUCCGGGAGAGGUGAGUGGAACUGCGAGUGUAGAGGUGAAAAUUCGUAGAUAUUUCGCAAGAACACCAGUGGCGAAGGCGGCUCACUGGUCCGGUACUGACGCUGAGGUGCGAAAAGCGU
rnacentral:rRNA from 1 species